rnacentral:rRNA from 1 species
CUGGUUGAUCCUGCCAGUAGUCAUAUGCUUGUCUCAAAGAUUAAGCCAUGCAUGUCUAAGUAUAAGCAAUUAUACGGCGAAACUGCGAAUGGCUCAUUAUAUAAGUUAUCGUUUAUUUGAUAGUACCUUACUACUUGGAUAACCGUGGUAAUUCUAGAGCUAAUACAUGCUAAAAAUCCCGACUUCGGAAGGGAUGUAUUUAUUAGAUUAAAAACCAAUGCCCUCCGGGGCUCUCUGGUGAUUCAUGAUAACUUCUCGAAUCGCAUGGCCUUGCGCCGGCGAUGGUUCAUUCAAAUUUCUUCCCUAUCAACUUUCGAUGUUUGGGUAUUGGCCAAACAUGGUUGCAACGGGUAACGGAGGGUUAGGGCUCGACCCCGGAGAAGGAGCCUGAGAAACGGCUACUACAUCCAAGGAAGGCAGCAGGCGCGCAAAUUACCCAAUCCCGACACGGGGAGGUAGUGACAAUAAAUACUGAUACAGGGCUCUUUUGGGUCUUGUAAUUGGAAUGAGUACAAUUUAAAUCCCUUAACGAGGAACAAUUGGAGGGCAAGUCUGGUGCCAGCAGCCGCGGUAAUUCCAGCUCCAAUAGCGUAUAUUAAAGUUGUUGUGGUUAAAAAGCUCGUAGUUGAACCUUGGGCCUGGCUGACCGGUCCGCCUCACCGCGUGUACUGGUUCGGCCGGGCCUUUCCCUCUGUGGAACCCCAUGCCCUUCACUGGGUGUGGCGGGGAAACAGGACUUUUACUUUGAAAAAAUUAGAGUGCUCCAGGCAGGCCUAUGCUCGAAUACAUUAGCAUGGAAUAAUGAAAUAGGACGUGUGGUUCUAUUUUGUUGGUUUCUAGGACCGCCGUAAUGAUUAAUAGGGACAGUCGGGGGCAUCAGUAUUCAAUUGUCAGAGGUGAAAUUCUUGGAUUUAUUGAAGACUAACUACUGCGAAAGCAUUUGCCAAGGAUGUUUUCAUUAAUCAGGAACGAAAGUUAGGGGAUCGAAGACGAUCAGAUACCGUCGUAGUCUUAACCAUAAACUAUGCCGACUAGGGAUCGGACGAUGUUAUUAUUUGACUCGUUCGGCACCUUACGAGAAAUCAAAGUGCUUGGGCUCCAGGGGGAGUAUGGUUGCAAGGCUGAAACUUAAAGAAAUUGACGGAAG